rnacentral:rRNA from 1 species
ACACAUGCAGUCGAGCGGUAACACAAGGGAGCUUGCUCCCCUNGAGGUGACGAGCGGCGGACGGGUGAGUAAUGCCUAGGGAUCUGCCCAGUCGAGGGGGAUAACAGUUGGAAACGACUGCUAAUACCGCAUACGCCCUACGGGGGAAAGGAGGGGACCUUCGGGCCUUCCGCGAUUGGAUGAACCUAGGUGGGAUUAGCUAGUUGGUGAGGUAAUGGCUCACCAAGGCGACGAUCCCUAGCUGUUCUGAGAGGAUGAUCAGCCACACUGGGACUGAGACACGGCCCAGACUCCUACGGGAGGCAGCAGUGGGGAAUAUUGCACAAUGGGGGAAACCCUGAUGCAGCCAUGCCGCGUGUGUGAAGAAGGCCUUCGGGUUGUAAAGCACUUUCAGUAGGGAGGAAAGGUGAUGUGUUAAUAGCACAUUGCUGUGACGUUACCUACAGAAGAAGGACCGGCUAACUCCGUGCCAGCAGCCGCGGUAAUACGGAGGGUCCGAGCGUUAAUCGGAAUUACUGGGCGUAAAGCGUGCGCAGCGGUUUGUUAAGCCAGAUGUGAAAUCCCCGGGCUCAACCUGGGAAUUGCAUUUGGAACUGGCGAACUAGAGUCUUGUAGAGGGGGGUAGAAUUCCAGGUGUAGCGGUGAAAUGCGUAGAUAUCUGGAGGAAUACCGGUGGCGA